rnacentral:rRNA from 1 species
CCAUUAAUGGAUAAUUCAUCGCCAAUAUUAUAAUAUAAUUUAUAUUAUAAUAAUGGUGUGCAUUUUUUCCAUAAAGGACAUUGUAAUCGGUUAAUAAUUUUAUAUGUUUAUUAAAAGAUUCAUAAUAAGAGUUUAUUCUAAUUAAGUUUUUUAAAUUUAAAAUUGAAUAAAUUAUAUUGAAUUUAAUAAACUGUUGACCGAUUUAAUUUAAUAAUGUUUUAAAUUUCUUUUGAGAUUUUAUUAUAAACAUUUAUAUAUUCUUUGAAUAUUAUAUUUAUUUAUUAUAUACAUUUUUAUGAUUUACAAUGUUAUAAAUUCAGGAUACCUUCGGGACCCGUCUUGAAACACGGACCAAGGAGUCUAACAUAUGUGCAAGUCGUUGAGUAAUUUUAAAUUAAACUCAAAGGCAUAAUUAACUUAACUGAUUUUUUUUUUUAAAAUGGGAUUAGUUUAUGUAUAUAAAUUCAAUCCCAGGGCGUUCUAUAUAGUUAUGCAUAAUAAUAUUUUAUAUUAUUUAUGUCUCUAACUG